rnacentral:lncRNA from 1 species
UCAUAAAACUGAGUUAUGCGGUAAACAAGUAUAAACAUGACCGAGUAUAGAUUUUCAAUCGAAAAUAAUGAGAGGAUGGUAAGAAAUAGCCCCUAAGGGUCCAAACAACAUUGGCGCAAGGCCCAAACAUGGCAUUCAACCCAAUUUACAGAAAUUCUUUCUAAAACAUAUAAGUAUUAAAUGGUUUCAACAAAGUAUGCAACUUUACAGUUGCUACGGGAUGGACCAAGUCACAAAUCCCUAACAGUGCACGCUCACACGCCUGUCACCUAGCAUGUGCGUCACUUCAAAAUAGUAGAAUGAUACGAAAUCCGGGGUUUCAUACCCUCAGGACCAGAUUUACAAUCGUUACUUACCUCAAAUCGGUCAAAUAUCUAACCCGCAAUGAUCUUGCCUUUGGACUUGGCCUCCAAUUGCUCCGAAUCUAUUCACAAUCAGUACAAUACCAUCAAUACGCGCUAAUGGAAUGAAUUCCACAAGAAAAACUACUAAAUUAGACUAAAACCCGAAAUUGACUCAAACCCGGCCCCCGGGCACAUGUCUCGAAAUCUGACCAAAUUUACAAAACUAGAAAUCUCAUUCACUCAUGAGUCUAACCAUACCAAAUUCAUCAAAAUCCGACAUUGUUUGGUCCUUCAAAUCCUUAAAUUACUUUCCAAAAAUUCCAAGCCCUAACCCCUCAUUUUCACUAAUUACCAUGAUUAAAACAACGAAAAAUCACAAGUAUACAAGUAUAGAGCUCAAGUAACUUACCUCAACGAAAUCCCCUUGAUUCCCUCUCAAAUCUCUCCCAAAAGCUCCAAAAAUCGAGUUGAAAUUGUGAAUGUCACACCUCCUUUUUAUCCCCCACAAAGAUAAAUAUGUAUUAUGGAUGGUGGAUUAAAGAGUUUUUCCAAUUAAAGUAAUAAACUUGAUUAGGGAUUAUUUUAUUGUUCAGAGUUGCCACUUGGAUUGAUUUUCAGGUAUUCCAAGUCACCUUUUAUUUGAAUCCCUAGUCAAAGGAAUGUUUGACUCUUUUAUUAUUGGUCUGCAAAAAUAAAGUUCAGGUAAAGAAUUAUGUUGAAUGGGGAGAAGGUGUAAGGGAUUCCCCGAAUCCUGUGGUUCUAGCACGGUCGCUUUAUUGACUACAACUUGGCUUGAAUUAAUUUUGGAUAACCUGUGUUUUAUUGGUUUUCAUGUUUUAACUAUGUCCGCUUUUAUUGUUUGAUUGGAUUUAUAAGAAUUAUCUUGAAAUAAGUCGCGCGUACGUAUACUUAUUUUGUUUGGUGUGUCAAAAACAUGGCACGCGUACGUGUACGCAAUUAAUAACACUUUAUUAUUAUCAAGAAUGUUUGGUCAAAGUCGCGCGAACGCGUACUUUGAUUUAUGUGAAAAAUCAAAAUUAUGUCACGCAAACGUAUACAUAAUCACGAUAAUUUGAUUAAUUAAGAGCGUGCCUAAAAGCAUACUGUCGAUGUUAAUUCUUACUAUAUUAGGGGUUCCUUGUUAGGCCAAAAGAUUAUGAAUAUAGUGUGCGAGAUAAAGAUGUGAACUUCAGUUUCCAUGAAUUUCCAGCAAAAGCAAUCAUAUUCACCAAAAAGGGAACUUAACAAAUUAUUAACAUUAUGUUAGAAGUUUAGCAAACCAAACCAACUCUUAGCUCAUAUACUAUCAAAACCAAGCAAAUAUCCUUAAAGCAAAAUAUGAUUUUAAUCUUAUGUCCGGUAACCCAAAUUACCCAACUUCAAAUUAAACCACACGGCAAACUUUUCAUUUUCCAAGACUAUACGGUGACUCACCAAAUUCAAUUACAACGAAACCUCGUUCAACUAAUCUAUUUAACAAAUAAUAGAAAUACAAAAAUGGAACCUAAAACCAUAACUAUUACCACUAAGUUGCAGUUGUAAGCUAAUAAAGAGAAACUGAAAAUCAGUAUAAUGUUAUAAUAAUUUUUUUUCGCCAAGAAUGAAUCGUCUUCAUAAACACAUAAACAAUGCACAAAUAAUGUAAGCUCAACAACAUUAAGCAUCAAGCCAUGGAUGAAAUAAAUAUCGAAAGUAAAGAUGGCCCUUUAUUGAUAAAAUUCUAACCUUUUGCUACGUACAGAAAAAGCCAACAAUUUCGACUUCGGAAAUGAAAAUCGACGGCGACGUUCGCUGACUGGAAAACCUCUAACGGGAUACCUUGACUUGCGCCUGAACAAAGACUCGGACCACGACCUUCGACGACCUCGAAGCUCGCCGGAACACUUGAACUGAACUAGUGACCAAUGAACAGAGCAUAAAGCUGCUGCUGCGUUUUUGCCUUUUUCCUCAGAUUCCCUUCUUCUUUUCUGCCGGAGUUCGACUUUGAAAUAGACAGAUCGCCUAGGAUUUAGCUAAGGAAAUAGAAGGAAUCAUGGAGAUUUUGUGCUAGUGGGGUGUGCGGCCGAGAGUUUUCGAGAGGUGGGGUGGCCGUUUUUCAUUUAUGUGUCUUGGAGAUUAGGGUGAUGCUCCUGUUGUUCUAAGGUUGGAGCUGAGAGAUUGGGCUGCUAGGAUAUAUAUCGAAAAGGUGGGUAACGACGGGGGUUGAAGGAGAGGGUGGCCAG